AUUGAGUUAAAUGCUUAGUUCUAUAACAUUGAGCUGUGAUGGGGAGCGAAGUUUAGUAGCGAAGUUAGUGACGUCACACUGCCAAGAAAAGCUUCUAGCGUUUAAACAUACUCUACCCGUACCGCAAACCGACACAGGUAGUCGAGGCGAGUAGCCUCAGGUGAGCGAGAGAACUCUCGUUAAGGAACUCGGCAAAAUGACCCCGUAACUUCGGGAGAAGGGGUGCUGACUUUAAGUCAGCCGCAGUGAAUAGGCCCAAGCAACUGUUUAUCAAAAACACAGCUCUCUGCUAAAUCGUAAGAUGAUGUAUAGGGGGUGACGCCUGCCCGGUGCUGGAAGGUUAAGAGGAGUGCUUAGCGUAAGCGAAG
rnacentral:rRNA from 11 species